CCCGCAGCGAUCUGCAGGAGGCCAACGACUGCGAACUGCGUGGACCUGAGCUGGCAUUUGGCCAGGACAAUGGGAUUAACUUCCCAAGCGCUGGCCAAAAAGGGCCCUGGGAUUUUUAUUUUUAUUCGUUUUCCAUUACAACUGCACAGCAACGCAAACAAAGCCCCAAACAAGGAGGAAGAUUUGACUGUCAGGAGGAGCUGGUGACCUCAUUCUGUCAUUCUGUUCUUGGGGCCACUGAAGGGAGGAAGCUGGCUCUGCCGGGAGCAGGUGCUCACAAUCUACAUCUUUUGUGGGAACGUC